rnacentral:lncRNA from 1 species
AUGCUUUGGCUGACCAGGACCAGGAUGAUGAGAUGUAGACACACCUCCUCAAGGAGUUUUGCAAGACGUCCCACCCACAUCAACAGGUGGUGGGCCUUUUGAUGACAGCUAUGGAAAAGUCUUUCCAGAAAAAUGCACGUGCACAUAAAAUUAGAAUGUUUCCAAGAUACGCAUGGACCCUGUGAAACCCACUGAAGAUUCCAUGGCCCCAGUUUCAGAGAUGACAAGGAAAAUCUUCAUUACCAUUUCAAGAACUGGGAACAAAGAAAAAUCCCGUUCCAGGACGCAAAGGAGGAGAUGCGGGUAGCUGAACAGAAACUUUUGAAGAUUACCAUGGGAAUACACCUGUGAACUUCCAGGUUUGAUCUCAGUUACUCCCUUACUUGAAGAAGGCUUCGAUGAUUCCUCAUGGAGAAAUCCCAGAUACUUCUGCACAUGAUUCAGAGGUCCCUUACAACUGGCUUCAGCCUGCCUUCCAAGCCCUGUCUCUCGCCUCUCCCUUCCUUCACACUGUGCUUCAGCGAGGUAGGAAUGCUUGUGAUUCACCUUCCAGGUCAAGAUGAUUGGCCCCUCGGCCUUCACAUAUGCUGUUCCCUCUGCUGUUCCCCAUGCUGCCCCCAGGGAGCUGCCCAUCACCCGCCAGGACCUUCCUGCCCUGGGUGCACCCAUAGUGCUUUGUGCCUUUCUCUUUCUUGCCACUUGCCACAUUUUACUGUAGUUAUUUGUUUAUAAUUACAAAUAUAAACCUGCUA